UUGCUCUCGCUUCCUCAGCACAUGUACCAAAAUUGGAACGAAGCAGGGCAGAUCAGCAUGACCCCUGUGCAAGGCUGACAUUUGAAUCCCUGAGGUGGAUAAGAGACAA